rnacentral:misc_RNA from 1 species
AAGAGUGUACGGCUGCGUGUUUGGACUUGUGCGCUUGCAGAGACUUCCGUGUCUGAGUGUCUGUGCCUCUUGGGCAGCAACUGCGUGAGCACGACAACGUUCUCUUUGAGGCCGUCUCUCUCGUUCUCUCUGCCCGUCACGGGAGCUUGCAGGCGGAGGUGACCCUUUUUCGCCUUUCCUCUACGUGAAAGGCCACUCGAUCUUCAGUCUCCCACUCCUGCAGGUCCCUCCAUUAGUGAGAGGAUGUUCACCAAGAAGCGCGCGGCCAUUCACAAUGUGCGCAACAACGUCGACAGGUCGAGCGGCGCCGGCGGCGGCGCGCUCACGCGCAAAGACAUCGGCUGCGGCAUCGUGGACUGCCCUCUUUGCAUCACGACGGCUGUCGCAGGCGUGAGGGAGCCGUGCAUUCUUCCCACGGCCGUCAUUGUGAUACCCGACACGAACGUUGUGUUGCACAACAUGAACGCCAUGGAGGACUACCGCGUGCAGAACAUCAUCCUCCUCACCACAGUGAUGCAGGAGGUGCAGAACCGCAACAAGGCCAUGUAUGCUCGGCUGCAGCGCCUCCUCGGGGACGACAAGAAGCAGUGCUUUGUCUUCGCGAACGACCGACACGAGCAGACGCACUGCAUGCGCAAGAGGGAGGAGUCGCCCAACGACUUCAACGAUCGCGCGAUUCGAGUGGCGGCGCAGUGGUACGCGCGGCAUGUGGUAGCCGCCUUCCCGGGCAUGGCGGACUCAUCGACGUCCAGUGUGAUUGUCGUUUCGCACGAUCGGGCCUUCAAGCAGGCUAUGGACGCGUCGGAGGAGGCGCAGCGGGUGAGCAACCUGCGCUGCGUAUCGCUCCGUGACUACAUCAAGCUGACCAUCGCCAGCGACUCGGACUUGCUGGAGAAGAUUCAAUACGAGGAGCCGGAAGGGAUGAAAGAGUCGCCGUCGACGCGGCAGCUCUUCACGCCGCAUCUCGGCAUGGCCGCCAUGGACGCCGGCGUGCACGACGGGAGCCUGUACAAAGGCAAGCUGCGCGUCAGUGAGACAAGCUGCUUCUUUGGCGAGAUUCGCGGCAAGUUCGAGGGCCACACCUUCCAGCGCAUUCUCAUACAGGGCCGCGCCAAUAUGAACCGCGCGAUUCACGACGACGUCGUGGCGGUGCAGUUGAUGCCCGUGCCGAGCUGGCGUGGCCCAAAAGGCUCAACUCCCCUUUCAGAGUCUGCGAGCGAAGAAGAUGCCAUCACGGCGGGCUUCACGCCUACCGGCAAGGUGGUGGGCCUACUCUCCUCCAACCGCCGGCCGUUCUGCGGCAGUCUUGAUGAGGGUGAGCUCGAGCAGGUCAAGGCGAACAUGUCGGAUAACGUCUCCAUCCUGUUUCAGCCCAAGAACAACCGAAUCCCGCGCAUUCGCAUCAGCACCCGUCACGUGCAGGACUUGAUGGACAAGCGUCUUAGCGUGGUGAUUGAUGAUUGGCCCUUGUACAGCAGUUUUCCAGUUGGGCACUACGUUGAGGUGCUGGGCAAGAUCGGCGAUCGUGACACGGAGGCGACGGUCAUUCUUUUGGAGAACGACGUGCCCCAUUACGACUUCAGCGAGGCAGUCCACGACUGCCUUCCAAAGGGGCAGUGGUCUGUGGCCAAGGACGAGGAGGCAAGGCGGCUGGACUUGCGCGACUUGUGCGUUGUCAGCGUCGACCCGCUGGGGUGCCGCGAUAUCGAUGACGCGCUGCAUUGCCGCGUCGUGAACGGCAAUCACCUCGAGGUGGGUGUGCACAUUGCCGACGUCACGCACUUUCUGCACGAGGGCACGGCCAUGGACGAUGAGGCAGCAAAGCGCAGCACGAGCGUGUACUUGGUGGAUCGGCGCAUCAACAUGCUGCCACAGCUGCUGACGGAGAACCUCUGCUCGCUCGUGGAGGCUGAGGACCGCUACGCCUUUUCGAUUCUCUGGGAGUUUGAUGAGAACCUGAACGUGGUGCGCGACUGGUUUGGCAAGACAAUCAUCCGCUCCCGCGGCGCCCUUUACUACGGCGACGCGCAGCGCAUGAUCGACAACCCGACCGACACCUCUGACAUCGCCGUUUCGCUGCGCGAACUGAUGCGGCUCAGCAAGCACUUCAAGGCGCAGCGCGAAAAGGACGGCGCCCUCUUUCUGGCGUCGCAGGAGUUCAAGUUCAAGGUGGACAACGAGCAUGUCAACCCAACCGACAUGCAAGUCUACCAAACCUUCGAGGCGAACUCGAUGAUCGAGGAGUGGAUGUUGUACGCCAACGCGGCGGUCGCGACGAAGGUGUACGAGUCCUACCCCCAGUGGACGUUGCUGCGCCGCCACGAGCGACCUGCUGAAGGCGCAUUCGACACGCUGAAUGACGCUUUGUACGGCAAGCUGCACGUGCGCCUCGACGACACGACCUCUCUGACGCUGAAUAAGUCCCUCGACAAGUGCGAGGACCCGCAGGACCCGUACUUCAACAAGCUCAUUCGCAUCCUCACCACGCGAUGUCUGCGACAGGCGCAGUACUUCUCCAGCGGUGGCAUCCCCAAGGACGAGUUUUACCACUUUGGACUUGCCAUGCCCAUCUACACCCACUUCACGUCGCCGAUACGCCGCUACGCCGAUGUCAUUGUCCAUCGUCAGCUGGCGGCCGCCAUCGGCAUCGAAAACGUUAGUGAGCAGCACAUGAACACGGAGAGGAUGGAGGCCGUAGCAGAAAACCUCAACUACCGCCACGAACAGGCGCAGCGGGCGGGCCGGGACUCUCAGAAUCUCUUCACCGGCUUCUACCUGCGCAACUUUGAGGAUGGAAAGAUCCCUGACGAGGAAGGCUACGUGGUGCGCGUGUCGGAGACGCACGUCUUUGUGCUUGUGCCCAAAUACGGUCAGGAGAGUCGCAUCCCGCGGGAACAGCUGGAGACGGUGCCGCGCUUGUUGGAUAGAGUAAAAGUGGCCAUCCAGCUGAAGCGGCAGGGCGACGUCAUGCGCACAAAACUUGUGUUCCGCCUGAUUGGCCUGAUGCGCGACGGCGAGGAGGGCGGAGUGCUGGUGGCAGACGAUGAGGCGUACGAGGUCAUCGAGGAUAGCGAGGAAGCUUCCGAGGAUGCACCCAGAGCGUCACAGGGUGCGCCGGCAACAUCCGUAGCGGCGGGUGACAACGAUACCAAGGCAGCGGAGCCGGAGUUUAAACGGGCUAGAGCAGACGGAGCCGAGACUGCCCUGCCAACCUCGUUGUAGCCGAAAACGCCGCGGUAGGUGCAUCCGGUGCGAAAAACAGCGAGGCGGCCGGGGACAGACAUGCUCGGCAAUGCUGCAGUGAGCCGCUUCCUCCCACCAAGCUCCUUCCCAACUUCUGGUCCCGCAACGCUUCAAAACCGUGUGCUGUUGUUCUCCUUUCCAUCGGCCGCCCUCAUGAUGUGUCGGAGGCGCCAGAGCGAUGCGUCGCUGCUGACGCCGGCGGCCAGGUCCCGGAGUGGGGCGGUGUCGGUGCGGCCUGCGACCGUGAACACGUCUGUGCCGCCCACAUCGAUGGGCAAAGCGCCAGCGGGAGUCGAGCGAAUCCCACCCAACCCUCACACCGCCCACUGCGGGGGGGGCCGGGGUGUCGCCCCGCGAGGGGCGCACCGCAGGGGUGGCGGCCGGCAUAACGGGCUGGCUGUGAGGCGGCCUGCGCACCGGCGGGUGCCGGGUGGAGAGAAGCUUGGCUCAUGUCGUGCGGCAGAGAACGGACACGUUGGACGAAAUCGGGGUUUUUGCUUGGCGCCAGCUCUCUGAGAGCGCGUUUCGAUCAUCCUCCCCGAGUAAUCGCCUAACCGUAGAGAGCGUAAAGGCAGUCAAACGG